rnacentral:tRNA from 1 species
GGGGAUUUAGCUCAGCGGUAGAGCACCUGCCUAGCAAGCGUGAGGCCCUGGGUUCGGUCCCCAGCUCCG